GGGUUAGUCAUUAGUGUAACUUCUGGCCAAUAGAAACAGUAGGUGUAUCCGAAACGCAAGCGAGGAAACGAAACCUUAUUCUCAAAAUUAGCGAAGAAGACACGCAGGAUCACUCACAAUGGCUGACUCUUCCAUUAUCAACGGUUCCCAUUCCAGCCCCCAUCCAGAUUAUGCCGAGAUUGUUGUGGUGCGUCAUGGCGAAACAGCAUGGAAUGCCACUG